rnacentral:lncRNA from 1 species
AUGCACUUUGCUGUUUACAGUAUGCAACUUGCUACUAUGAGUUCAGAUUCGGUUAUAUUGUUGCAGACGGUGACAUUUUCUGCUGAAAACCACCAAGAUCAACGGACUAAAGACCCCAAAGAAACCAACUAUCCAAUAGGUGUGGACCAAAGACUCAAAAGAAAGGAAAACAAACACAAAACACAAAGGAGAGGACGAAAGAGGUGUCCGGUGGCUGGCUGUCAAGUCACCGUCAUUCACCUACCUCMUCACCUGCGGCAGGUCCAUGAGUGGGGCAGGGGGAAGGCCCAGUCUGCAGUCAACACAUUCGGUCUCGGUGCACCAAGCAGACAUGGUGACAGCAGCAGCAAGGCUAAAAACAACCAUCACUCCAGGCCUUGCCCCAUGACAGGCRGUCAUGAAGUGGUCAAAAGACUGCCAGCCCACCUGAGAAAGCAACACAAGCUUGAAAAGAACUCUCCUCUAUACAGAGAGCUUCUUACAGCGUCACAGAAGAGAAGGUCAAAUGUCAAUGAAUUAAUUUUAUGAUGUUUACUGUGAAUAAUUAUUCUAGCUGAUGUAUUGAAGUUGAAUGAGAAAUAUGUAAUUGAAUUAGGACAUGAUUGAACAAGACAAUAUUUGGGAAAAGAAUAAAGAAUGCGCUUGAACUGCCACACAGCUCGACUAACUUCGAUGUCCGUUUUCCUUUAUCUACAGCAUUCUGACUCAGACACCCUUUCMGAGGCUUGUAACAGAUACAGCAUAGAAAGACCAGCAUCAAUUCAUAUCCAAAGUGGUCACAGAUGUUAUUAUUCUUCAUUUACACACAGACCUUUUUGUAGGAUGUAAACCUUAUGUAUGUCCAGGAGUGUAAAGUACUUUAGUAAAAAUACUUUAAAGUACUACUUAAGUAGUUUUUUGGGUAUCUGUACAUAACUUUAUUAUUUAUAUUUUUGAAAACUUUUACUCCACUACAUUUCCCUGACACCCAAAAGUACUCGUUACAUUUUGAAUGCUUAGCAGGACAGGAAAAUUGUCUAAUUCACACACUAAUCAAGAGAACCCCCUUGGUCAUCCCUACUGCCUCUGAUCUGGCAGACUCACUAAACACAAAUGCUUAGUUUGUAAAUUAUGUCUGACUGUUGAAGUGUGCCCCUGGCUUUCCGUAUAAAAAAUAUUUUWAAAACAUUGUGCCGUCUCAGUUGAUUAUUAUAAGGAAUUUUAAAU